rnacentral:rRNA from 1 species
GACGAACGCUGGCGGCGUGCUUAACACAUGCAAGUCGAGCGGUAAGGCCCUUCGGGGUACCCGAGCGGCGAACGGGUGAGUAACACGUGAGUAAUCUGCCCAUCACUUCGGGAUAACUCCGGGAAACCGGUGCUAAUACCGAAUAUGACCACUUCAGGCAUCUGAUGGUGGUGGAAAGUUCCGGCGGUGAUGGAUGAGCUCGCGGCCUAUCAGCUUGUUGGUGGGGUAGUGGCCUACCAAGGCUUCGACGGGUAGCCGGCCUGAGAGGGUGACCGGCCACACUGGGACUGAGACACGGCCCAGACUCCUACGGGAGGCAGCAGUGGGGAAUAUUGGACAAUGGGCGAAAGCCUGAUCCAGCAACGCCGCGUGAGGGAUGACGGCCUUCGGGUUGUAAACCUCUUUCAGCAGGGACGAAGCGCAAGUGACGGUACCUGCAGAAGAAGCACUGGCCAACUACGUG